GGUUAAGCGACUAAGCGUACACGGUGGAUGCCCUGGCAGUCAGAGGCGAUGAAGGACGUGCUAAUCUGCGAAAAGCGUCGGUAAGGUGAUAUGAACCGUUAUAGCCGGCGAUGUCCGAAUGGGGAAACCCAGUGCAAUUCGUUGCACUAUCGUUUGAUGAAUACAUAGUCAAACGAGGCGAACCGGGGGAACUGAAACAUCUAAGUACCCCGAGGAAAAGAAAUCAACCGAGAUUCCCCCAGUAGCGGCGAGCGAACGGGGAGCAGCCCGGAGUCUGAAUCAGCUUGUGUGUUAGUGGAAGCGUCUGGAAAGUCGCAGGGUACAGGGUGAUACUCCCGUACACUAAAACACACAGGCUGUGAACUCGAAGAGUAGGGCGGGACACGUGGUAUCCUGUCUGAAUAUGGGGGGACCAUCCUCCAAGGCUAAAUACUCCUGACUGACCGAUAGUGAACCAGUACCGUGAGGGAAAGGCGAAAAGAACCCCGGCGAGGGGAGUGAAAAAGAACCUGAAACCGUGUACGUACAAGCAGUAGGAGCCCCACCACCAAAGCGUUUCGCUUUGCGUGGUGCGCAAAAUGCGUAACGACAGCAUGAUGGACGGUUAACGGAGCGUCAGCGACGUUCAACCUCAAAAAUCAGGCAGUGGAGCGUUUUGGGGU
rnacentral:rRNA from 1 species